AUGAGUUGCGAACGGGUGAGUAACGCGUAGGUAACCUGCCUUGUAGCGGGGGAUAACUAUUGGAAACGAUAGCUAAUACCGCAUAACAAUGGAUGACACAUGUCAUUUAUUUGAAAGGGGCAAUUGCUCCACUACAAGAUGGACCUGCGUUGUAUUAGCUAGUAGGUGAGGUAAUGGCUCACCUAGGCGACGAUACAUAGCCGACCUGAGAGGGUGAUCGGCCACACUGGGACUGAGACACGGCCCAGACUCCUACGGGAGGCAGCAGUAGGGAAUCUUCGGCAAUGGGGGCAACCCUGACCGAGCAACGCCGCGUGAGUGAAGAAGGUUUUCGGAUCGUAAAGCUCUGUUGUAAGUCAAGAACGGGUGUGAGAGUGGAAAGUUCACACUGUGACGGUAGCUUACCAGAAAGGGACGGCUAACUACGUGCCAGCAGCCGCGGUAAUACGUAGGUCCCGAGCGUUGUCCGGAUUUAUUGGGCGUAAAGCGAGCGCAGGCGGUUUGAUAAGUCUGAAGUUAAAGGCUGUGGCUCAACCAUAGUUCGCUUUGGAAACUGUCAAACUUGAGUGCAGAAGGGGAGAGUGGAAUUCCAUGUGUAGCGGUGAAAUGCGUAGAUAUAUGGAGGAACACCGGUGGCGAAAGCGGCUCUCUGGUCUGUAACUGACGCUGAGGCUCGAAAGCGUGGGGAGCGAACAGGAUUAGAUACCCUGGUAGUCCACGCCGUAAACGAUGAGUGCUAGGUGUUGGAUCCUUUCCGGGAUUCAGUGCCGCAGCUAACGCAUUAAGCACUCCGCCUGGGGAGUACGACCGCAAGGUUGAAACUCAAAGGAAUUGACGGGGGCCCGCACAAGCGGUGGAGCAUGUGGUUUAAUUCGAAGCAACGCGAAGAACCUUACCAGGUCUUGACAUCCCGAUGCUAUUUCUAGAGAUAGAAAGUUACUUCGGUACAUCGGUGACAGGUGGUGCAUGGUUGUCGUCAGCUCGUGUCGUGAGAUGUUGGGUUAAGUCCCGCAACGAGCGCAACCCCUAUUGUUAGUUGCCAUCAUUCAGUUGGGCACUCUAGCGAGACUGCCGGUAAUAAACCGGAGGAAGGUGGGGAUGACGUCAAAUCAUCAUGCCCCUUAUGACCUGGGCUACACACGUGCUACAAUGGUUGGUACAACGAGUUGCGAGUCGGUGACGGCGAGCUAAUCUCUUAAAGCCAAUCUCAGUUCGGAUUGUAGGCUGCAACUCGCCUACAUGAAGUCGGAAUCGCUAGUAAUCGCGGAUCAGCACGCCGCGGUGAAUACGUUCCCGGGCCUUGUACACACCGCCCGUCACACCACGAGAGUUU
rnacentral:rRNA from 1 species